GAGUUUGAUCUUGGCUCAGAUUGAACGCUGGCAGCAUGCCUUACACAUGCAAGUCGAACGGCAGCACGGGAGCUUGCUCCUGGUGGCGAGUGGCGAACGGGUGAGUAAUGCAUCGGAACGUAUCCUGGAGUGGGGGAUAACGUAGCGAAAGUUACGCUAAUACCGCAUAUUCUGUGAGCAGGAAAGCGGGGGACCUUCGGGCCUCGCGCUCUUGGAGCGGCCGAUGUCGGAUUAGCUGGUUGGUGAGGUAAAGGCUCACCAAGGCGACGAUCCGUAGCAGGUCUGAGAGGAUGAUCUGCCACACUGGAACUGAGACACGGUCCAGACUCCUACGGAGGCAGCAGUGGGAAUUUUGGACAAUGGGGCAACCCUGAUCCAGCCAUGCCGCGUGAGUGAAGAAGGCCUCGG
rnacentral:rRNA from 1 species